rnacentral:tRNA from 1 species
UCCCUGUAGCUUACAACAAAGCAUGACACUGAAGAUGUCAAGAUGGCCGCUUUCACCGCGCCCAAGGACA